GACGAACGCUGGCGGCGUGCUUAACACAUGCAAGUCGAACGGAAAGGCCCUGCUUUUGUGGGGUGCUCGAGUGGCGAACGGGUGAGUAACACGUGAGUAACCUGCCCUUGACUUUGGGAUAACUUCAGGAAACUGGGGCUAAUACCGGAUAGGAGCUCCUGCUGCAUGGUGGGGGUUGGAAAGUUUCGGCGGUUGGGGAUGGACUCGCGGCUUAUCAGCCUGUUGGUGGGGUAGUGGCUUACCAAGGCUUUGACGGGUAGCCGGCAUGGGAGGGUGACCGGGCACAUUGGGACUGAGAUACGGACCAGACUCCUACGGGAGGCAGCAGUGGGGAAUAUUGCACAAUGGGCGGAAGCCUGAUGCAGCAACGCCGCGUGCGGGAUGACGGCCUUCGGGUUGUAAACCGCUUUCGCCUGUGACGAAGCGUGAGUGACGGUAAUGGGUAAAGAAGCACCGGCUAACUACGUG
rnacentral:rRNA from 1 species